rnacentral:rRNA from 1 species
GAUGAACGCUGGCGGCGUGCUUAACACAUGCAAGUCGAACGAAGCAUUUAAGACAGAUUCCUUCGGUUUGAAGUCUUUUAUGACUGAGUGGCGGACGGGUGAGUAACGCGUGGGUAACCUGCCUCAUACAGGGGGAUAGCAGCUGGAAACGGCUGGUAAUACCGCAUAAGCGCACAGUACCACAUGGUACAGUGUGAAAAACUCGGGUGGUAUGAGAUGGACCCGCGUCUGAUUAGCUUGUUGGCGGGGUAACGGCCCACCAAGGCGACGAUCAGUAGCCGACCGGGGAGGGUGCCCGGCCAGAUUGGGACUGAGACACGGCCCAGACUGCUACGGGAGGCAGCAGUGGGGAAUAUUGCACAAUGGAGGAAACUCUGAUGCAGCGACGCCGCGUGAGUGAAGAAGUGGUUCGCAAUGUAAAGCUCUAUCAGCAGGGAAGAUAGUGACGGUACCUGACGAAGAAGCACCGGCUAACUACGUG